rnacentral:lncRNA from 1 species
GUGAAGCUACCUUUACUGCCCUCUCACCAAGGACUGUAACAACACUCAAGCCGCCUGGCGUCCUGCUCGGUCUCACUGUGCCCUCUGCUUACCUUCUCCAGUCCUGCUCUCACCCUGCACCUUUCCUGCCCUCAGCAGAGCAGAGGAGGGAAACAGUGCCAUGGCGGCGUGGCAUGCAGGGUCCCUGUGCCCACUGCGCAAACUCUCAGAGAAGGAGCUGCACCUGCGUGGAGACGAGGCGCGGGAUGCCCUCCCUGUCUUCUGCUUUAACUUAGGAGACACGUGCCAAGGAUGUUCAGAGGUCCCGCCCAUCACCUCUAGUCUCAGAGAAGACACCUUCUCCAACCGCAGAGACCAGACUCGACCUAAAACUGAAUUUAAGAAGCGAAAGGCAGGAUAAGUGCAGAAGAGGUACCAACCAGUGCACAUAGGUUAAGAAGCGGAAACAGCAGGGUGUGGUAGCAACCUAGGUAAGAGCCACGGAAGGCCUGCUCCUGGUGGGUCCCGCAGGGCUCUGUGGACGGGAGGGUCCCCGAAGCCUGUGUUCAAGGACUGCCUUCUCAAUGAGACCCAACACAGUUUCCAAGCAGUUCAGCCAAUAAACAAGCCGAGCAGAUGUACAGAACAUGUACCAGAGCCCCAGAAGCCUCCUGAAGGAUCUAUCCCUGCAGGACAGAAGACAGCCGAACUGCUCCGAGUGCUGCCCCUGUGCCGUGCACCCAGGACAGACUGGGGUGAGGACACGAGGUGAGAAGAAACGGAGCUGACAGCCUCUCACCCAGGAGGGCCAUGCACAUGCGCCUGAGUGUCUGGACUUCCUACAUGGAAGAAGGAACCAUAAAACCGUGGAUGCGCUCUAAGGCCGGGAAUCUUUACUCUCCGAAGGAAAACCCCUACCAAGCACCCACAGUACUGCCCGGCAUGGAAGAGUCGCUAAGUACUAUUUGCUGGAUGGGGACCACACCCAACUCUGCCUGGGUGUACAAAACUGACAACCCAGGGAAAAAAUUUUCAGCAACUGUACCUCAGACAAAGGACUACUAUCUAGAAUAUUAAAGAACUGAAAAAAAUCAGACCCCCCCCCAAAUUCAAAGACCCAAUUCAAAAAUGGGCAUCUGAAAUGAACAGACAUUUCUCAGACAAAGAAGUAAAAGCAGCAAAUAAAUAUAUGAAAAAAUGUUCAA